CCCUUAGAUGUUCUGGGCUGCACGCGCGCGACAAUGACGUUUGCAACGAGAUACGAGACCGAAAGGUUAAGUUGAUCUAGCAAGCUGCGUCGUGAUAGGGACUGUCGAUUGCAAUUAUUCAACACGAACGAGGAAUUCCUUGUAAUCGCACAUCAUCAGUGUGCGCUGAAUACGUCCCUGCCCUUUGUACACACCGCCCGUCGCUCCUACCGAUCGAGUGAUCCGGUGAAUGUUUUGGAUCGGUUGCAAGUUGCGCGACGCGCUUCUUGCAUGCUGUGAAAUCAUGUAAGCCUUAUUGCUUAGAGGAAGGAGAAGUCGUAACA
rnacentral:rRNA from 1 species